GAGCGGUAGCACAAGGGAGCUUGCUCCCGUGGGUGACGAGCGGCGGACGGGUGAGUAAUGUCUGGGAAACUGCCUGAUGGAGGGGGAUAACUACUGGAAACGGUAGCUAAUACCGCAUAACGUCGCAAGACCAGAGAGGGGGACCUUCGGGCCUCUUGCCAUCAGAUGUGCCCAGAUGGGAUUAGCUAGUGGGUGGGGUAAUGGCUCACCUAGGCGACGAUCCCUAGCUGGUCUGAGAGGAUGACCAGCCACACUGGAACUGAGACACGGUCCAGACUCCUACGGGAGGCAGCAGUGGGGAAUAUUGCACAAUGGGCGCAAGCCUGAUGCAGCCAUGCCGCGUGUGUGAAGAAGGCCUUCGGGUUGUAAAGCACUUUCAGCGAGGAGGAAGGUGAUGAACUUAAUACGUUCAUCAAUUGACGUUACUCGCAGAAGAAGCACCGGCUAACUCCGUGCCAGCAGCCGCGGUAAUACGGAGGGUGCAAGCGUUAAUCGGAAUUACUGGGCGUAGAGCGCACGCAGGCGGUUUGUUAAGUCAGAUGUGAAAUCCCCGGGCUCAACCUGGGAACUGCAUUUGAAACUGGCAAGCUAGAGUCACGUAGAGGGGGGUAGAAUUCCAGGUGUAGCGGUGAAAUGCGUAGAGAUCUGGAGGAAUACCGGUGGCGAAGGCGGCCCCCUGGACGAAGACUGACGCUCAGGUGCGAAAGCGUGGGAGCAAACAGGAUUAGAUACCCUGGUAGUCCACGCUGUAAACGAUGUCGAUUUGGAGGUUGUGCCCUUGAGGCGUGGCUUCCGGAGCUAACGCGUUAAAUCGACCGCCUGGGGAGUACGGCCGCAAGGUUAAAACUCAAAUGAAUUGACGGGGGCCCGCACAGGCGGUGGAGCAUGUGGUUUAAUUCG
rnacentral:rRNA from 1 species